GUGUCAUUAGCUCAGGGGUUAGAGCGCUGGUCGAUCUAGUAAGCCAGGGUUGAAGAGUUCAAAUCUCUGAUGAAGCU
rnacentral:tRNA from 1 species